rnacentral:misc_RNA from 1 species
GCAAACUUGGUCAUUUAGAGGAAGUAAAAGUCGUAACAAGGUUUCCGUAAGUCUAAUAAUACCCCUAAAUUAAAUUAAAUUAAAAUCUUUACUAACAGCUUCUAAAGGUAGGUGAACCUGCGGAAGGAUCAUUACCUUGAAAGGGUCCUUUUGGGCCCGACCUUCAACCCAAUAUCUACAAACCUUUGUUGCCUCGGCGAGCCGUUAGUGUUUCGAUGCUACCGUCGGCUCUUGAGCUUUCGAGUGCUCGCCGCAGGGUUUUUUAAAACAUUCUUUGCAAACGAGUAUCUGAGUGAGAUUUACAAUAAAACAAAAAUUUUCAACAACGGAUCUCUUGGUUCUGGCAUCGAUGAAGAACGCAGC